AGAGUUUGAUCAUGGCUCAGAUUGAACGCUGGCGGCAGGCUUAACACAUGCAAGUCGAGCGGUAACAGGGGGAGCUUGCUCCCCGCUGGCGAGCGGCGGACGGGUGAGUAAUGCUUAGGAAUCUGCCUGGUAGUGGGGGAUAGCCCGGGGAAACCCGGAUUAAUACCGCAUACGUCCUACGGGAGAAAGCAGGGGAUCUUCGGACCUUGCGCUAUCGGAUGAGCCUAAGUCGGAUUAGCUAGUUGGUGGGGUAAAGGCCUACCAAGGCGACGAUCCGUAGCUGGUCUGAGAGGAUGAUCAGCCACAUCGGGACUGAGACACGGCCCGAACUCCUACGGGAGGCAGCAGUGGGGAAUAUUGGACAAUGGGGGAAACCCUGAUCCAGCCAUGCCGCGUGUGUGAAGAAGGCUUUCGGGUUGUAAAGCACUUUCAGUGAGGAGGAAGGCUCAAAGGCUAAUACCCUUUGGGAUUGACGUUACUCACAGAAGAAGCACCGGCUAACUCCGUGCCAGCAGCCGCGGUAAUACGGAGGGUGCAAGCGUUAAUCGGAAUUACUGGGCGUAAAGCGCGCGUAGGCGGUUUGAUAAGCGAGAUGUGAAAGCCCCGGGCUCAACCUGGGAACGGCAUUUCGAACUGUCAGGCUAGAGUAUGGUAGAGGGUAGUGGAAUUUCCUGUGUAGCGGUGAAAUGCGUAGAUAUAGGAAGGAACACCAGUGGCGAAGGCGGCUACCUGGACCAAUACUGACGCUG
rnacentral:rRNA from 1 species